GCAGCCGUGCCAGAGAGGUUAUUGGGUAAGACUAGAAACCUUAUGUCUUCGGACGCGUAGGUUCGAAUCCUACCGGCUGCG
rnacentral:tRNA from 1 species